rnacentral:rRNA from 1 species
GACGAAUGCUGGCGGCGUGCUUAACACAUGCAAGUCGAGCGAGGCCCUCCUUCGGGAGGUGUCCUAGCGGCGAACGGGUGAGUAACACGUGGGCAACCUGCCCCCGGCUCUGGGAUAACUCCAAGAAAUUGGGGCUAAUACCGGAUAUGACCGCUGACCGCAUGGUCUGGUGGUGGAAAGAUUUAUCGGCUGGGGAUGGGCCCGCGGCCUAUCAGCUUGUUGGUGGGGUAGUGGCCUACCAAGGCGACGACGGGUAGCCGGCCUGAGAGGGUGACCGGCCACACUGGGACUGGGACACGGCCCAGACUCCUACGGGAGGCAGCAGUGGGGAAUAUUGCGCAAUGGGCGGAAGCCUGACGCAGCGACGCCGCGUGGGGGAUGACGGCCUUCGGGCUGUAAACCUCUUUCAGCAGGGACGAAGCCGCAAGGUGACGGUACCUGCAGAAGAAGCACCGGCCAACUACGUGCCAGCCGCCGCUGUAACAC